UUUUUUUUUUUUUUUUUGAGACAGAGUCUUGCUAUGUUGCCCAGGCUAGAGUGCAGUGUCAUGAUCUUGGCUCACUCCAACUUCUGCCUCCUGGGUUCAAUCAAUUCUCCUGCUUCAGCCUCCUGAGUAGCUGGGAUUACAGGCACCCACCACCAUGCCUGGCUAAUUUUUUGUAUUUUUAGUAGAGACAGGGUUUUGCCAUGUUGGCCAGGUUGGUCUUGAAUUCCUGACCUCAGGUGAUCCGCCCGCUUUGACCUCAGGUGCGAGCCACUGAGCCCAGCCUUUGCAGCUUUCCUUGUCUCAAUUGGUUAGCACCUCCAGCUGUUCCAGUGGCUCAGGCCGAAACCCUUGGAGUCAUCUUAGGCCCUUUCUCCUCAUAUCCUACAGGAAUUCCUGUUUGCUCCACCUUCUCCACCUCCUUGGCUCAAGCCAUUCUCCUGCCUCAGCCUCCUCCUGAGUAGCUGGGACUACAAGUUGCAUGCCAGCAUGCCUGGCUAAUUUUUCUUUUUCUUUUUCUUUUUUUUGUAGAAAUGAGGUCUCGCUAUGUUGCCCUGGCUGGUCUGAGCUCCUGGGCUCAAGCAAUCCUCCCACCUUGGCCUCCCAAAGUCCCGGGAUUACAGCUGUGAGCCAUCACAUCUGGCUACUCUAGCUUGAGCGAGGAAAGUUCAUUGACCACUUCCACUGCUAACCCAUCUCUUCUGGAAUCUUGCCAUAGUCUCCUGAUAGGUCUCCCUGCUUCUCAAUCUAGCAGCCACAGUGGUCCUUGUCAAACGAAGUUAGAUCUUAUCACCCUAUGCCCCUGCAGUGGUGCUUCCUUUCAUGUGGGGUGAAAGCCUAUGUCCUCAGAAAAUGGUUCCUAAGCCCCACGUGUUUGUGCUGUGCCCUUACUCCUCUGUGAUCCCUGUCCCUCGCUCAGUUGCAGUCACGCUGGCCUCUCUUGCUCUAUGAACACACCAGGCACCCUCCUGCUUUAGGACCUUUGCCCUUCCUGCCUGUCUCCAUGGAAAGCUUUUCCUGUCUUGGCUAACUCCCUUGUUCUUUGUCUUAGUUCAAAUAAUCAACUUCUUGGUGAAAGUAGUAGACACGAUUCAAACCUGACCACCUUAAAAUUGCAACUCAGCGCCUCCUCAACCCUCCACUCCCAACCACCUUCACCCUGCUUUUGCGUAUCCUUUUGCCUUUUUUGCAUUAGCAUUCAUCAACUUGUAAUAUGCUGAUAAAUUACAUUUUAGUGGUUUUAAAAAUCUGUAUAUUUAUUUUUCAGUUAAAUGUAAGUUACAUGAGGCCGGGCGUGGUGGCUCACGCCUAUAAUCCCAGCACUUUGGGAAGCCAAGGCAGGUGGAUCACUUGAGGUCAGGAGUUCGUGACCAGCCUGUCUAAUAUGGUAAAACCCCGUCUCUACUAAUAUUACAAAAAUUAGCUGGUGUGGUGGUGCAUGCCUGUAAUCCCAGCUUCUUGGGAGGUUGAGGCAGGAGAAUCGCUUGAACUCGGGAGGCAGAGGUUGCAGUGAGCUGAGAUCAUGCCAUUGCCCUCCAGCCUGGGCAACAAGAGCGAAACUCCAUCUUAAAAAAAAAAAAGGUAAGUUACAUGAGGCCAGGGGUCUUUGGUUCAUUGGUACAUUCCAGAAAAAUAGGAUCAUUUCUAACAUAUUGCAGAUCAUCAACAAAUAAUUGUUAAACGAGUACACUUUUGGUAUUUUUAUAGUUUUUCUUUUCUUUUUUUUUGAGACAGAAUGUCGCUCUGUC
ensembl:lncRNA